UGGGGAAUUUUGGACAAUGGGGGCAACCCUGAUCCAGCCAUGCCGCGUGCAGGAUGAAGGCCUUCGGGUUGUAAACUGCUUUUGUUAGGAACGAAAAGCUAUCCACUAACAGUGGGUAGUGCUGACGGUACCUAAAGAAUAAGCACCGGCUAACUACGUG
rnacentral:rRNA from 1 species